CCUAUACAUGCCUCAUCAAUAUGCUCAAACCACAACUUUCACUUUACUUUUAUUUACCUGUCUUGUGGUCUUCUUGAGUAGGAAUUAGUCAAAGGUCCCAUCUCAAAUUUCCUGCUUCAUGUAGUUUCAAAAAGCUCUAUUCCCGGAGUUCCAUCUUGGCUUCUUCCUACUGAGAAGGAUCAAGACAAUAACAAUUUCCACUGAGAACUAAUUAUGAAGAUAGCAGUGAAAUUACUAUAUCAACAGCCCCAUUAAUGUAAUCACUUGAGAAACCGGAUGGAAAUUAGUGAAAGCUGUAACGUAGUAAGGGAUUGGCCCACCGGAAGCACAGGAGUGAUCACUGAACCCAUCUGGCUCCAAAAUCUGACACUGAGUCCUGAGGAGGAGGAUGGAAAGAAGGCAGACACUGGACUUUUAGCAAGUCUUUAGCUGCUGAAAAGAGGAACACAUUUUGUCUGAGUAGAGUGUGCCAGGAGAAAGCAAAUGAGAUACACUUGCCACCAAGAUGUCUGGGUUCAGAUGGAUUUGAGGAAAAGCCACCACUGCCUCUCCCCACUCCUCAGGUCUGGACCUGUAUCAGGUGUCAUCUGCGAAAGGAAGAUGUAUUCUAUUCUUGGAGUGAAGCCUUGGGAUGAGACAACUUGUUUUUGGAUGUGUUUACCCAAGAGUCUACAACUACAUGUUUGCAGUGAUAAAUAUGGAAACUGAGAAGUUUGCUGAGCUGGUCCCAUCUCCACAUUCAUCCAGGCAGAUGGCACAUGCAUCAUACCCAUCUCCUUUCUGGAAAUUACCUAGACAACGCCUCUUAAGAUGAUCUUUAUAAAAUAUUUCUUCUAGUUGGAUGUUUGUCCUGGAAAAAUUGUGUGAAUAUGAAAAUGAGUGUCAGGAUGAGAUGAAUUAAUUAAAAAGAAGGAAGAAUUCCAGAAGUCAGCUUAAUUCUGGAACUGAAUCAAUGUCACUUCUUUCUUCAUAUGUGAAUUCAUCUUUCAUAGAGUUAUCUGAUACUUUCCCAACAAAGGCAGAUGGAAUGUCACCUUUUCCCCCCAAAACACAUUAUGUGGAUUCCAUACUAAUUACUUCAACAGUAUCAAUACUGUGAACUAUGGCUGCUUUGUAUCCUGUUCUCUGUGUAUUUAAAAUCUUAAUAUCAAAAUUACCCUUUAUAGAACUGGGCAGAGAAAUACAAGAUGAGCUUAGAGCAUCUUGAAAGCAGGGAAGUAAGGAAGUUCUCACUAAAGAAAUAAGAAAGUAAGGAAAUAGGAAGGAAGAGAGAGAGAGAGAAAUAGAAAUUGGAGGUUGGGGGAAGAGUGGUGGGGAAAAACAGAGGGAAAAAGGAAAGAAAGAAGGAAAGAAAGAAAGAAAGAAAGAAAGAAAGAAAGAAAGAAAGAAACAGAAAAAGAAAGAAAGACGGGAUGAAGGAUGGGGGAGUGUCAAAGGGACACAGGAGCCAACCGAAAGAACUCCCAAUGGCCAAAGUUAGAAAAUUUUGAACAAUAACAAAAAAUGAUAGUAAUGGAUUAUAACACAAAGAAUAAAGUAACUAUCCAUUAAUCUAUACUGAUAUAA
rnacentral:lncRNA from 1 species